rnacentral:rRNA from 1 species
AUUGAACGCUGGCGGCAGGCCUAACACAUGCAAGUCGAACGAGUGGCGGACGGGUGAGUAAUGUCUGGGACACUGCCUGAUGGAGGGGGAUAACUACUGGAAAAGGUAGCUAAUACCGCAUACCAUCAGAUGUGCCCAGAUGGGAUUAGCUUGUUGGUGGGGUAACGACGCACCAAGGCGACGAUCCCUAGCUGGUCUGAGAGGAUGACCAGCCGCACUGGAACGGUGACACGGUCCAGACGCCAACGGGAGGCAGCAGUGGGGAUAAUUGCACAAGGGGCGGAAGCCUGAUGCAGCCAUGCCGCGAGUAUGAUGAAGGCCUUCGGGUUGUAAAGUACUUUCAGCGGGGAGGCGUUACCAGCAGAAGAAGCGCCGGCUAACUCCGUGCCAGCAGCCGCGGUAAUAC